UUUUUUUUUUAAAGAUUUAUUUAUUUAUUAUAUGUAAGUACACUGUAGCUGUCUUCAGACACUCCAGAAGAGGGUGUCAGAUUUUGUUACAGAUGGUUGUGAACCACCAUGUGGUUGCUGGGAUUUGAACUCCGGACCUUUGGAAGAGCAGUCGGGUGCUCUUACCCACUGAGCCAUCUCACCAGCCCCCUUUGUUUUCUUUUAAGGGUAUUUUUGCCUGGUAUAGUGGUGCAGAUCUUUAAUCCUAGCAUUCAGGAGGCAGAGGCAGGUGGAUCUCUGAAUUCAAGAGACCAGCCUGGUCUACAGAGCCUAGUCCCAAGGAUAACUAGAGCUAUACAGAGAAACCCUGUCUCCACAAAAUCAAACAGGCACACACACACACACACACACACACACACACACACACACACACACACACACACACACACCCCUAUACUUAACCUUCAGUAUUACCAAAAAGAAAAGGGGAAAUACAUUAGCCUUUUAUGUGGCACAAGUCUGUAAUGCCUGUCCUUGAAACCUCAAAAGGUCAUCUUUAGCUACAUGACAAGUUCCAUAACAGCCUGGAUACAAAAGUUGCUGUCUCAAAAAUCAAAUAAUUAAGAAUUAAAAGCUAGAUGGAGCUAGUGAUUUAACUUAUUUGUUAGAAUGCACACAUGCCUACACUGGCUAAAACACUCAUAUACAUGAAAUAAAAAUGAGUCUUUUUUUGUUUUUGUUUUGUUUUUUGGUUUUUCGAAACAGGGUUUCUCUGUAUAGCCUUGGCUGUCCUGGAACUUACUUUGUAGACCAGGCUGGCCUCAAACUCAGAAAUCCGCCUGCCUCUGCCUCCUAAGUGCUGGGAUUAAAGGCCUAUGCCACCACCACACCAGCUUACAGAAAGUAUAUGUAGACCAUGCUGUCCACAAAUUCAGAGACCCAUCUCCCUCUACCUCCCAAAAUGCUUCCUGCCUAUAAUCCCAGCACUUGAAAAGUGGACACAGAUGAUCAGGAGUUUAAAAUCAAUAUCUCCUGUAAGUAUUCCUUGGAUGGAAGGAUAUCCUGGGAGGGAAGGGAUGAAUCCAGGAGUGGUUGCCUCUGCUCCUGGGAGAGGAUAGAAGGGCACUAGACAAGGCGGUUGGGGGCAGCUUAUAUAGGAUUUCAUAGAGGGUGGGGCUUUUCAGGGCAGAGGUUUUUAUUUUUAUUUUUUUGGUUUUUCGAGACAGGGUUUCUCUAUGAAGCCCUGGCUGUCCUGGAACUCACUUUGUAGACCAGGCUGGCCUGGAACUCAGAAAUCUGCCUGCCUCUGCCACCCGAGUGCUGGGAUUAAAGGCAUGCGCCACCAACGCCCAGCUCAGGGCAGAGAUUUUGAUUUGACAGUUGGUAAGACUUCAAGUCCUGCGUUUGGGGAGCUCAGGGACUGGUGGGCUUCCCUGUCCUUGGUUUGGUGGGUUUUUGUGAGAAGUACAGAGAUUGGUAGGUUUUUUGGCUCAAGGAUUGGUGGCUUUUUUUUUUCCACCCUCUCUUUUCUGCAUCAGGUUCAUGGGUUAGGAAUGGCUUUGGCUGAGGUACCACCUCUGUGGAGCUACUGGAGAGGAGACAUUGCCACCGCGGACAGCUCCUGUGGUGCUAAUUCAUGAAGUUCAUAGGCUGAGGCAGGAAAGGUGCCACCACCAUGGACAGCUCCUACGACUGCACCUCUAGCUAGUAGCAGGCAGAAUUGGGAAAGGAUGUGUUGCCACAGUGGAAAGCUACUCGUGACAGUAUCAGGGUAAGACAUGGCUGUUUGGCAGGUACUGGCAUUUUAACAGCUCAUGUUGAGGCAUCUUAUGGGUAGGUUGGAGCAGGAAGAAGGAGCCAGCAACUGCUUUGACAGCUUGCCCAGAGUCUACAUCUACUACACACCAAGUCGAAGGCCAGCCUGGGCUACAGGAGAUCCUAUUUCAAAAACAGAGACCGAGGAUUUCAUUCAGGAGAGUGUUCAUCUAGCAUGCACAAAACCCUGGGUUUGAUCCUAAGCAUCUGUCUAAACUUAAUGUGGUGCACCACAGUGGUUAUACUUUUUAUUGUCAUUCAGACGCCUUGUCAAGUUCUUCCAGGCCAUAGCCACCGCCAGUUCUCCCUAUUCACAAAUUGUGAUAUGAGCAAACACAGUUGUACACAAGAGAUUAUCCUAACAUCUCUCCUUUAUAGUCCAAUAAAAGUCUAAUUUCUCUAAUGCCAAUUAACUACAUACAAUAAGAACAAUAAUGAGAACUGUCAGGUAGGAAUUACAUUCAGUGUCUAAUCAUCUCUGUUUGGCAACUUUGGAAAAAGUACCCCACUAUCCUAACUUGGUGAAUCUAAAGUUCUGUAUUUAAAUCACUUUCUACCAUAAUUGUAUGAAUCAACCUAAAAACAUCAUUAUUCUCAUUGUAUGAUAAUAUCAGUUGUGCUGAGGUCUGGGGCCCUGUUAACAGUAGCAAUGAAAAGAUGGCUAGCUAUGCAGCUAUCCUAACACCAUUUAAUAAAAUAUUUUACCACUAUUGAUUGGUGAUGCCUUGAUUAUCAUAUACUAAAUUGUUAGUUUUUUAUCAUUUCAGUUUGUAGGAGGCAGAACAAUGAACCCUUAAUGUCUACAUUUGUAACCCCAGAAAUGUAAUAAUGUUACUCUGUUUAGCCAUAGAGGUUUUGCAGAUAUAUUAGCUGGGCAGGCAUGCUAUCACAUACCUGUUAAUCCCAGCACUCAGGAGGCUAAGCAGAGAGGAUUGUUCCCUAGGCAACAUACUGAGACUGCCUUUAAAAAGCAAAAUAAAAUUCAGAGAGAAGAUUACAUUCCUGCUGAUUCAAAUCUGAUUGAGCUUGCUUCCCUGGAACUUCAGGUCAUUGGGUUACAGAUGUGGGUCAGUUGAAUACUUGCCUAGUUCAGGAACUCAGAGUUUGAUGCUCUGCUCAGUACUACAUAUACCAGUCAUAGUGGUAAGUUCCAGUAGUCCCAACACUCAGAAGGGUCCAAGUUCCAAGUAUCUUCAUCUACAAUGCAAAUUUGAGGUAAGCCUGGGCUACAUAUACCAAUUAAAGAACAGACAUGACUAAGAUUGUAUAGUUCAAUAUUUUUCCAAUUACAGUUAUAUUUUUAGGAAUUGUUGGUUCUCUUUUAGAAUUCUAGUUCAUCUUUUUUCCCAGUUCUUAGGUUUUUGGUUUUUGAAGAAAAGUACUCAGACUAGUUUAAGCAUUUUGGGAUGUAUGGGUUGUGCUAAAUUACCAAAAGCAACACCCAUGCUGCUGGGCCUCUGAAGAAGUGGAAAGAUCUGAAAAGUGAUAAGAACGAAAAGCAAGUUUUUGGGUCUUGGGGUAUUUGUUUCUUCUACCCCUUUCUAUCUCAAUUUAACUGAGAAUGAAUAAACCUUUUCUUGUUUGACAGCCACUGGUGUCCUUUGCCUCUUAAAUUUCUAAGCUAAGAUUUGCCCAGAUUAUAAUUCUAAUUUCCAGGAGGAGCAAUUCAUUUUUUACCUGCUAUCAAUCAGUUUGUUUCUUUCUACAACCAAAAUGCUUCUUGAACUGGUCUGUCAUUGUCAAAUAUUUAACUCAAACCUCUGUCUCACCUGAAAUACUUUUAAGAGGGAUUUAGCUCAGUGGUAGAGUGCUUGCCUAGCAAACACAAGGCACUGGGUUAGGUCCUCAGCUCCAAACC
rnacentral:lncRNA from 1 species